rnacentral:lncRNA from 1 species
GGACGGACAGACCGACCGACGCGGGCCACCGGGCUCUCCUCGCCGCCGGUGCGGCGGGCGCGGGGCCGCGCGGGGACGCCUGAUAUCUGCAGCGCGGGCGGGCCGCCGCGGAGCGGAACCAGACAAAGGCGCCGGGACGCCUGCAGGUACAUGCUCGUGUCCCCUCCUCCCCGCGCACUCCGGAGACUUCUCCGUGCGACCCCGCAACUUUCCCCAUCAUCUGCUGCCCAGCCCCGCCAUGGCCCAGGUCACGAGUGCACAACCCCCGCAGACCUACACCUGCAGGCCACUUGGAGUCCUGCCGGGCGCGCCUCUCUCCGGCGCGCUCCAUCCUCCGGUCCCCAGAGCCCGUCGUCGCUGGAGCCCUAAGGAUCUGCCUGUUGCGCGAGCCGCCGGCAGCCGAGACCGUGUCUGGGUCCCUCGGAAAGCCGCAGGGAGGGUGUCUAGAAUCCAUUCUUGGGCGCCGGGUCGGGGACGGACGGAGGCGGGAGAAGCGAGGAGCCGCGGAAAGGCACUUCGCGGAGGGGCAGCCCUGGGGCGUUUCCUUAGCCUGGAAGCCGUUCCUUCUCUUCCUAGAGAAGAGGAGGAGGCGCUUUCCGGACGGCUGUAAGUGCUUCCCUGGCCGCCUGCUCCGCCUUCUUCCCUGUCACUCUUCCCUCCCCUUUGCCCCGCAGCAGUGCAGGGCGCCCCGCGACAGUUGCUGGGAUAAGCGCACCCGGGGCGCAGGGAGCUGGCUCCGGUGCCGCGCUGCGCCCGGGGACUGCCGGCGCGCUCCGGCUAGGAGCCGCUUGGGGCUGGCAGGGCUCGGCCCGUGUCAGGUCGCCCGCCGACCGUGCGUCUGGAUUAGUGCUCGUGAUGGGAGUGGGUACUUCGGGGUCGCAAACUUCCAUUUCCCGCGCUCGGCUGGUUGGCUGCCCGACUUCUCGAGGACAGGCCUGCCUUAAAGCAGACGGAAUGAAAGGCAGAAGCUUGUAAGCCUACGCAUGACGCCAGAGCACGUCGGCAGAGGGCUCUGUCUCACCCGGACCAGUAAGUUGACUUAGUGGCUGCUCGCCUGUCUCUCCUCCCUUCCCAAAUACUGACCGAGGCUGCUUAUGACCUUUUAUUUUCCCAAGUAGAAAUAACUGUUUUC